UUGAAAGUUGGAUUUUUUCAU
rnacentral:piRNA from 1 species